AGAUUGAACGCUGGCGGAAUGCUUUACACAUGCAAGUCGAACGGCAGCACGGGACUCAGGCAACUGAGCCCUGGUGGCGAGUGGCGAACGGGUGGAGUAACAUAGUCGGAACGUACCCAGUCGUGGGGGAUAACUCUCCGAAAGGAGAACUAAUACCGCAUACGUCCUGAGGGAGAAAGCGGGGGACCUAAGGGUAACUGAGGGCCUCGCGCGAUUGGAGCGGCCGAUAUCGGAUUAGCUAGUUGGUGGGGUAAAGGCUCACCAAGGCGACGAUCCGUAGCGGGUCUGAGAGGACGACCCGCCACACUGGAACUGAGACACGGUCCAGACUCCUACGGGAGGCAGCAGUGGGAAUUUUGGACAAUGGGGGCAACCGUGAUCCAGCCAUUCCGCGUGAGUGAAGAAGGCCUUGGUUGUAAGCUCUUCUGCAGGAACGAACGGUACGUACGUUUAAUAAAGU
rnacentral:rRNA from 1 species